GGUGUGAGCAGCGCGGAAACUGGCGGUGUGAGCAGCGCAGGGACCAUGGGCUAUGACUAAGAAAGAGAGAGAGAGAGAGAGAGAGAGAGAGAGAGAGAAACGAGCUGGCCGAGAGGAGCAGAAGGCAGGAGGGGAAAUCUGGCACAACGGCUGGGAGAGGAAACUUGAUGCUUCUGGGCCACCAUUUGCCAGGGCCUCGCUCAAGGUAAGUACACUGGGGGCCCGCGGAGUCUGUACCUGUCAGGGUCCAGCCCCCGCCCAUAGCCGAGAGAUGGGCACCUUUACCUGGGCUAUUCAAAUAAUGAUCAAAAUGGUACGGGGAUGGGGUGCGGGUUGAGGUAGUGCUCCAGCCGGAGGGCCCGGGGCCCAGAGGAUGAUGUGCGCCUGCAAGCUUGGACCCCGGGCUCUUGCCCCUGGGCACUUUGUGCCUCCUGCCGAGGUUCCGAGCAACUGCGGGGGCUCCAACUAUCGAAUUUCCCUUCCUAAGUCACCCGUUCGACAGCUCCCUCCUUUACACACCCGCGUGCAAAUGAGCCGCUGCUCUGUCAUGAAGUGAGAAUAUGAGCCUCCCUCAAACCCUAGAAAAGGAAAGUUUGGUAAGGCGGGGGCUGCGCAGACCUGCUGUUCUCUGGAACCUAAACCGGGAACCCUAGACUUGCGCAGAAAAUUAAUAGUUUUCCAUUUUUCUUUUAAAAAAAUUACCUUGAACGAAAAAUUGUGUGUAUUCAAAAAAAGUAUUGGAUUACCAUGUCUGAUCAGCUGCUGAUGACCUACCAAUAAGCGUUUUAGACACACACGCACAUUCACGCGUGCGCGCGCGCGCACACACACACACACCCCAGGGGCUAUGUGCAGUGAGGAAGGCCGUCAUAAGUAACCAAGAAUUCAGAGGGAGUCGCGAGGGUUUUUAAGUGUGUAAAGGCUGUGUACGUGUCCUCCUUGUUACAGAGAGCAGAGGGAGGGGGCAGAGGGAGUGCGCGUCGGCUCGGCGUUUUCGCUGUGCCUGUGUGUUUCGCGUGUUGUCAGCUGGCUCUGGUUUCUAAGCGCUGAGUGCUGCCAGGGGCGGGGGCCAGCAUCCACCAUCCACCUCGGCACCCUAGUGGUGAAACAGGACUCAUUUGUUUGGUGCAGAGCGGUGACGACCUAGAAGAGACUGGAGUGUGGUUAGGUCGGCCCCCUGCCAUCCAUUACACCUGCGGCAGAUGGCUCAAGUGGUAGAAUGGUUUUGUUUGCCGAGAUCAAGAAAGGAGGAGGGGGAAGCUAGAGGCUCGCCCCACUCAAAAUAAGUACCAUAAAGAGCCAAAGAAAUGAAAGAAGCCAUAUUCGAAGGAAGCAAUAAUGUUGCUGCCUUCCAGGAGUGAACCUGGACACGUUAGUGACUUUUGCACCUGGCCCGAAUUGAUAACGACUGAAUUUUAGAAACAACAUUUUUCAAAUGUAUUUUUAAUAAAGUGCCCACUCCUCCCUACACGCACGCACACACACACACACACACACCCCACACACACCUAUCUCCAGCCAGAUGCACACAGGUGUUCUUGGAGCUCUACACCCUGAAGCCAAACGUCAGUAAGAUCCUGCGGAUUUCCAGAUGAAGGAAGCCUCUUCUCUCCCCCCACUUUAUUCAGUCGGCCUGCUAGCUUCCACACACAAGUCCCCUCUCUCCAGACAACCACCUGGCUGGAAUUUAGCUAGGUUUCAAAUGUAUCCAUCUCAUUUUCACAUGCAAUAAUGUGCCUUUCUGAUCAGUCUUCACAUCCUUGCAUCCAUUCCUUCCUCCCUGCUACUCAAGAAGCAAGAAAGGAGGACACACACCCUCCCAGGCAGUCCAGAGGAAAGGCAGGCGUGACAAAGAACACCGACACAGUCUAAUGACAAUUUAGCCUGUCUUCUAUUCCUUAAUUUUCUUGUUAAAUAAGAGAAACGAAAAGAAAAAUAUAAUGAAGGAGACCUAAACAGAAAGCCUUGUAAGCCUUGUCUCCUCCCUUACUUCACAGUCAUCACGAUAACACCCAUACACAAAUUACAUGUAUGAAUAUGCUUAUUCACAUUUCGUGUGAAAUAAAAAAUUAUUUUGCUGGCC
rnacentral:lncRNA from 1 species